rnacentral:rRNA from 1 species
CUGAGAGGAUGAUCAGUCACACUGGAACUGAGACACGAGUCCAGACUCCUACGGGAGGCAGCAGUGGGGAAUAUUGGACAAUGGGCGAAAGCCUGAUCCAGCCAUGCCCAGAGUCUAAAGAAGGUCUUCGGAUUGUAAAGCACUUUAAGUUGGGAGGAAGGGCAGUAAGUUAAUAC